AUCCAGAGCCACGAUGAAGAAUAGCUCUCACUUCUCUCUAAAAAUUGGUGUAGAUUUUUAACUUAUUAUUGAGACAUUGAGAUUCUGAGUGUCGCUUGGGUAGAUAAGUUCCAAAAUCCGUGAUUUUGGAAUGGAUCUUUGGAGCAGACAUGGUUUUUUCUUUGCUUAUGCCGGAUCUUCGCAAUUGGAUAUUUCACCGUUAGACGAAAGCUAAACCGUCCGUAGUGAGUUCGCAUCACAAAUUCCGGCAUAAGAUUGCUGUGUUGACUGACUGACUCAAAAAGCCAUGAAAUCAGAUCUGGGCUUUCAUUUCAGGUGCAUGUUGGGAUAUCGCCUAGGGUUUGCUUAAGAUGAGUUCUUUCAUUCCUAAUUUUGGUUUACUAUUUAAACAUUCAUGAAUUCUAGACAAAAUACACCACUAUUGAACAAUAUGUUGCACGGAAUUGCACAUGCAGUAUUACUUAUAAUUUUUCUCAGUUUACUUUGCAGGUACUAUAGUUCUAUGUAUUUGUCAACAUGUUAUGGGAAAAAAGCACUGUAUUAAGUCAACAACAAAAUAAACAGUUGAAGAAGUACAGAAGACUUUAGUUCAAAACUAAAGUUCCAUUAGAAUUCAGAGGUACAUAAUAUAUUAAUAUAUUCCCCUUUUCUAUUGAAACUAUCUUUAGGCGGAUUGUGUAAUUGACAUUCCCAAUUACACAAUCCUAAGCACACUGUCAAUCUUCUAGCCAACCAUUUGGAAAGUAAUCUUCCGUGUUUGCCAUUUAGAAAGUCAUCUUCCGUGUUUGCCAUUUAGAAAGUCAUCUUCCGUGUUUGCCAUUUAGAAAGUCAUUUUCUGUGUUUGCCAUUAGGUCGUCCACUACCUGCAAAAAAAAAAAAAAAAAGAGCCCAAGCAUAACCAUGUAUAGAUGAUUUAUCAUGUUGUAGUGAAUUAGUUUAGUAUGUACUUCUAAUUUGAAACAUGGCCACAUGCCCACUUGCCCAUAAGGCAUAUAAAUAUAUGUCUAAUAAGCAUCAAUGUCUUUCAGCUUCCAAUAGUUUUACAGGCUAAAUUGUCUCAAAAUAGAAUUCCCCUGGUGGAACCAAAGAAAAAUGUUCUAUGAAUACAAUGUCUACUUCCUACAUAGGGAAGUAAUUAUAAAUGUUAUGAUAUUAGACAGUUCCUUUCUAUUUUAGACUAAUAAAGUAAUACCCUAGUUGCACAUCCAGUAUUACUUAUGCUUUUUCUCAGUUUAUUUUGCAGGUUCUAUACUUUUCGUAAUUAGUCAACAUGCUAUGAGAUGGUACUAAACUUGCCUUAAUAAAAUGCACAGUCAAAGAGAUGGCAGUAUAAAAGAGUAAUAAUGUUAGUUUGUGAGUCAACAUGCUUUGAGAUGGGAGUUAAACACAAGUAUCUAUCUGAAGUUUGUGAAGUAAGCCACUAUCAAUGAGUAUUGCCUAUACGACUCAGGAUCUGAGGCUGAAAUAGUUGGUAUAAAUCUACCUCUUUAUAUAGAGGUAGAAUUCGAACAGGAUUCAACCUAGAGAAACGAAGAGUCUUCAUUGGAACAAUGUUUUUAAUUAUGUUGUUUCAAUCUCAAAGUGUUUAUUUUAAAUUUUAUUUAGAUCAGUUUGAAUUUGAAUUUGUAAUAUAUAAUGCUAUUUGCUUCCAUUCAGAACUCGUUCUCCAAGAA